rnacentral:lncRNA from 10 species
CUUUCUUGUAGUUUGGAGACCUAAUAGACCCCGAGGCUUGGUGGGUGGUUCUCUCCUGCUAACUUCUAAAGUUGAAGCUAAGGGGAUCAUUAUUUAUCUGGAGACUAUAAGGCUGUGCUGUCCAGUAUGGUAGUCACCAGCCUCAUGUGGCUGUUGAGAACUUGAAAUGUGGCUAGUCCGGAUCGAGAUGUGCUCUGAAUACAGACAAUAUGGAGGCCUCAGGCUCAGAGGAUGGCAGAGUCUUCAGAUGGAUGGAGGGAGCUGCAGUCACUGAACCACUGCAGGGAGAGAAGUACUCACAGACCAGGAACGCUCAACUUGGACUGUUAUGUGACAGAAAGAACUUGAUGUAUACCUCCUGACCUGUUCAUCUUGUAGCUGCCUCUUGACAGGUGCCAAGAACUGUGAUUUGUGCUACAGAUACACAGUCUCCUUUCUCAAAGUGUUCUGAGUUCAGUUGGGUUGACAGGCAAGUGAACAGAACAGAUAUUUGCAGUAGGAGGAG